rnacentral:rRNA from 1 species
CCUACGGGAGGCAGCAGUAGGGAAUCUUUCACAAUGGGCGAAAGCCUGAUGGAGCAACGCCGCGUGCAGGAUGAAGGCCUUCGGGUUGUAAACUGCUUUUAUAAGCGAGAAAUAUGAUGGUAACUUAUGAAUAAGGAUCGGCUAACUACGUGCCAGCAGCCGCGGUCAUACGUAGGAUCCGAGCAUUAUCCGGGGUGACUGGGUGUAAAGAGUUGCUUAUGUGGCAUAAUAAGUAGCUAGUGAAAUCUGGUGGGUCAACCAUUCAGACUAUUAGGCAAACUGUUAAGCUUGAGACCGUUAGGGGUAACUGGAAUUUCUAGUGUAGGAGUGAAAUGCGUAGAUAUUAGAAGGAACACCAAUAGCGAAGGCAGGUUACUGGGACGGUUCUGACACUAAGGCUCGAAAGCGUAGGUAGCAAACGGGAUUAGAUACCCGGGUAGUC